UACAAAGGUCAAGACAUCACUACCAAUGAGCUCAGCACAGAAGAGCCUGCAUGCAUUCCUGACCACAACCUACAAUGGAAAGUGCACCCUCAUAAGAAGAGGAAGACACAAGAUUCAUGCGGAUGUUCAGUUCAGUUAAAACAGGAAUCAAAACAGUCCAACCAUGUAGCAUGUGCCGAAUCAAAUGGCACGGACACAGUGGUUCGGGGAAAAGAAGUCAACGGCGACAGAACACCGUAUCCGAAUGGGUGGAAUGGCAAUGGCUGUGACACAAACUCGACACCGUCAUGGUCAAGUCAGCACUAUGGAGCAUCGAGUGUAACUAGUGGGGAAGAAUCAGAGCC